rnacentral:snRNA from 1 species
AUACCUUUCUCGGCCUUUUGGCUAAGAUCAAGUGUAGUAUCUGUUCUUAUCAGUUUAAUAUCUGAUACGUGAGUCAUUGACUCGCAUGAUAUUAAAUUAAUUUUUCGAGGGGGAGAGCCGAAUUCAGUAGCUUGCUGCUGGGGUUCUUGAACGUCGCCUGUGUCUUGCAUUACUGCACAGGCCUGGCGUACCCCAU